CUUCACACUGGAAGCACUCGGUCAACAGGGAGAAAAAGUUUGGGGAAGAUGACUGAGAUGCCAGUAUAGAUAUUUGGCGGGACUCAGGACACCCAGCUUGAAACCAGAACAAUCACAGGGACAAACAGGGAUGUCUUCUCACCGCAGACCAGAAGGCCAUUUAGGUUGACCGGAGGAGCACUUGGGCCAGUUGGAGGGCACACUGACCAACCAGAGGGCAUUUGAGCCAACCAAAGGGGUCGUUGGGCCAAUCUGAGGGCAUGUGGGCCCCUCAAGUGUCCUUCUGGUGCCAAGGGUUGGACCAGGGCUUGGUGCCAGCGUGGAUAAAGAGCAGAUGGCGACCUUGACAGGGCAGAAAACCUCCAGUUCCCACAUUCUCCUGUUCUAUUCAACCUUCACUCCUAUACUUCCAAUGGCAGCAUGGCAUGUGUGGCAGGGAUUGCUUAGAUUUAUACUUGAAUGCGCCAUCGUUUUUAAGAAAUAAAAAAGGAAC